AUUCUUUCUGGAAUUCUUGGUCAUUUUCUGUGAAUAUGCUCAUUAUACAUUUUUCUGAAGCUGCAUCGGUUUCUCUAUAAGGGAUCAAGGACUGCAUCAUUAAUUCUUCCUCGCUUCUGUCUCACUCUGUCCAUGGUUUUCUGUUUUGUCUUUUCUUAUUUUAUGUCGUUCCAAAAUAAAAUAUUACCUAUUUCAAUUGUCUUACACUACUAAAUUUGUUUUAUGAAGACACAUUAAAGGCUCUGUCAUCAAUGGGAAUGGAAGAAGUAACUGUUGAAAGCAGUGUGAGCAGCUUAAUCAUGCGUUUGUUGGGAAGAAUGUGUAAUGGGCCACAAGAUGGUAAAUCUUUAGUUAUGUUUCUGCUUAAAUUUUAUGUUUCCAUUACAUUUCUGUCAUAUUAAUUAUGUCGCUAGAUGCAUUGGAUUCCAUAACCUCUCCUAGCAACAUAAUCCAAGAGUUGGGUUUGAAAAAUGCUUUCACUUCAGUUUAUUCGAUCAAUUUGCCUCCAGAUCAUUAUUUCAUCAAUUAAUUUCUUUUCCUGUUGUUUAAAAUUUCUAUUUUCCAGAAUCACACCACUCUCCCAAUAAUGUCCAGUUCUAUGUUCAGCAUUUGCUGCGUAAGCUUGGAAGCAACGCUUACAUUGGCCAACGUGUGAUCCUUUCUGUUUCUCAGAGAGUCUCUGUAACGGCAGAAAGUUUACUCUUCAUGGACCCAUUUGAUGAUUCCUUCCCCAAAAUGCAUAAUUGUAUGUACAUAAUGUAAGAUUUGCUUCAUCAUAUAUAUCGCAUUUGUGAUUAACAUUCAUCAUUGAUUGAAUCUUCAUGUUCUUAGUUUCAUUUUAUAUGACUCUAGAAUAUUCUGAUAGCAUUUGAAUAGUUAGUAGUUGUAUGGAAUCACUUUUCGCUGCAGUAUCUUCACAUUUCCCAAAGCAAUCAAUUUGAUGAGAACCAAUCGACUAUUUGAUUAGUACAUUUUUGUGUAAUAUGACUGUUUGCUUGGAGAAAUAUCUUUCUCAGUGCAUAUGUUUUACAUCUUAUGAAGUAAUCACGUCCUCCUCUUACAUCUACUAGAGUGGAGAACAUUGUGUGAUUCCAUUAAUAAUAAUCUUAUCGCAUAGAUUCUAGCAUUCUUUUUGUCCUAAAUAUUUGGAGCGUUUGAUGUCUAUGAAGCUUGACAGAUUUUCUACAACUUGGGACUCCUGGGUUCAUUGUCUGAAGUUCUGUCACCAAUGGUGUUUGCUUGUUCAUAUAUCGCAAAUUCUCCAGCUAUUAUUUAUCCAUUUGGAAUUUCCUAAAUUACAUGGUUGAAUUUUAAAAUUCAGUCGUUGAAUAGGUAAAAAAAAUUACAACAAUUUGGUUGGUAUCUUAACAUCAUUUUCUGAAAAGCGGGAGAUUUGCAUGUUAACCGCCUUAUUCAGUUGUUUGAGCUGUCAUGGGAGUAUUAUAUGUGUUAUAUUUUAUCUUCAAUACAACGCUAAUGUGUUGGUAAAAUACAAAUUUUAUCAAAAUUUUUUUAAAUUUUUUUCUUUCUUUGGUAAUUUGUUUACAGGCUAUCGCAUGGGGUAGCACUUUUGCAAUUCAUGUCUUCACACUAAUUAUUUUCAGUUUCUUUUGGAUGAUAAAAUAUGUUUGUCAUUCAGUCUCAUAGUGCCUUCACGUGCGUACAAUUUGAUGCAAACACAAAAAAUAAAAAAUAAAAAAAAGGGGAAAAAUUGAGUGACUUAUCAUUUGGCAUUUCUCAGGUUUAUCUUAACACAAUUGUAAUGUAUAUGGCAGGAUCCAGCUUAUUGAGUUUCUGGUUUCGGACAACUUGCUAACUUGGUCAAAGGAUGAAGCCUUCGACUUAAGUACGUGUUUCGCUUUUUUGCGUUGGUUAUUUCCUGAACUCAUUCUCAUGACCGUAUAGUAAUUGCAGCAAUCAUAUUAUUGAUAAUCUGUAUAAGACUACAAGUAAAAUUUGAUUUGGAACCAACUUCUUGCGUCAUUCUUGUUCAUCAAAGUUUUAGUUGUACUAGACAUUGGGUAUCAAAUUAACUUGGUAUGGUGUCACCAUGUAGAGCUUUUGGAAGAAUGGGUGACAUCUCUUUGUCACUCUCGGAAAGUCCUGGAGCUCUUGGAGAGCAGGAAUGCACUAUACAUUCUAUAUAUGGAUCGCAUAAUCGGGGAUUUGAGUAGGCAAUUGGGUCAGGUUUCCUUUCUUCAAAAGCUAAAACCAGAUAUUUUUGCUAAACUGUUUAACUAACUCUUGCAAUAUCUUCAAAUGUAAGUCGACACUUCUUGAGUACCUUUUUGCCUGUGAUGUAUCAUCGUAUUUCUUGUCAGGAAUUUGUGAAGUUUAUUGAAUGUGCAUAACUAAUUUGACUUGAUGAUUUGGGUGAGAUGUAUGAAAUUUAAGUUUGAAGGGUAUACUUCCGAACAUUUUUAACAAUGUAAGUAUAGAAUAAACAAUUCCAGUAACAAAACGAUGUCUUCUAGUAGUGUAUGUAAGAAUAAGAUCGCUCGG
rnacentral:lncRNA from 1 species